GUUAAACACACCGCAACGCAACGUAACAUCUCCAAAGAGACGUAUCCAGAGGCCAAACGACUUAACUCUCAAGCCCCACCUCCACCCUGACACCCAGCCCCAGAGGCUUCAUGGUGGGGCACUUUCAUUAUUAUCUGGAUGAAUUUUCACAAUGUAUUGCAGCACUGUUCAAGAUUGCAUGCGUACUUCAUAGCAGAAACAAACGAGCAGCAAUCUCGGACCAUAAGGUACUGCAGAGAUUCCGAGACAACUUACCACAAGAGUGUCCAAGGUGUCAAUCAGCGUGAGAGAGAACCUCGAGAAGAAAGGACGCACACAUGUGUUGGGGCAGCAGAAUGAAAGCAGCAGACACCAACAAUCUAAACAAACUCAUCAGGAGGAUUGGCUCAGUGCUGGGAAUUGAGCUGGACUCCCUGGUGACUGCAGCUGAUGAAAGGAUUCUGUGCAAACUUGCUGGCAUCCUGGACAGCACCUCCCACCCUCCGCACUGCGCCCUGAACAGCUACCGAAGCUCCAUCAAGGAGGCUCCACUGAGCACGACAAGAGACCCUCCUCCUUGUGGCCAGGGAGACCUGGGCCGCUAAACUCUCAGUGCUUUCCGGACAUCUUCUGUUUUUAAUAGUAUAUACUACAGGUGAAACACACACAAAAUUCAUGGUACUAACCUCGCCUUUUGGUGCAUGGUUUGAUGCAAUUUUGGUACAGCAGGGAAAAGAAUUUUUGAGAUUGUUAUUAAAAACUGCAAACACAGUCGAA